GCAAUUAUAAUUUAUCUCAUGUUCGUUAUUUUAUGAUUAAUAAUAUUGGCUUAGUAUGCAGUGGCCGUAGUUAAAAAUUCUCACAGAUAAUUAAUGAGUGUUUUUCUCUUUUAUAAAUUUAUAUGAAAUAUAACUUACUAAAUUAUCGAGAAACACAACUUGGUAAAAUAAAAUCAACAAAACGAAUACAUCUCUUGAGUAACUAUAGCAGAACAUUUUAAUAUGAAAUCACUUGAAAAGCGAAUACAAAUUAAUGAUAUUGUAGUGCUUUGGCUCUAGAAAGUACCAACUAAAAUUACUUAAUUUUCAAAUUGACUGUUCAGAACUAUAAGAUUUCAAAAUUUGAAUGUUUGCAUUAAGUAUCAAUAAGAAAACGCUGCGCACAAUAUCAUAAUGUAUUUUGUUGCAUUGUCGUCACCGUUAUUAUAUCGGUAAACGAGCUACAAUUAAUCAAGAUCUUGUGCAGUUUAACCAAACGUUUCCUGGUCACUCGGAAUUUUUGCACCCGCUGUGAUGGUGUUCGUUGACAUAACCACAAAAAACUGCAGUUACCUGAAGAGGAAAAAAACGAUAUCGUAUUAAUAAGCGUCCAGUCACAUGCCCCCCACAGGUGUUCCAUAACAAAAAUUAUACUUCAAACUUCACCGACCAACGGCGCACACUAAAAGUUCAAGACUUUUUUAUAAAUGGCAAACUUUUAAUUUCAAAAGCGGCUUUCAAUAUAGGAUGAUGAGAAAUCUAACAAUGGCUAUAAGACUCAACGAACGAAUGUAUAAGUAUCGUCGCUUCCAAUAUGGUUUUAUUUAACGUACAACGCAAUACAUAAUAUAUUAUGCAUAUAUUGUUAGACAAUAAUAUUUUAGAUACUUAAAUGAUUGAG